CGAGAGGCCCAAACGUUAUUCGGAAUUACUGGGCUUAAAGAGUUCGUAGGCGGCAUUGCAAGUAGGGUGUGAAAGCCCUCGGCUCAACCGAGGAAUUGCGCUCUAAACUGCAGUGCUCGAGGAACCUAGAGGUGAGCAGAACAGAUGGUGGAGCGGUGAAAUGCGUUGAUAUCAUCUGGAAUACCGGAGGCGAAGGCGGCUCACUGGGGGUUUUCUGACGCUGAGGAACGAAAGCCAGGGUAGCGAACGGGAUUAGAUACCCCGGUAGUCCUGGCCGUAAACGAUGAGCACUAGGCCGGAGGGCUGCACAGCCUUUCGGCCGUAGCUAAAGUGUUAAGUGCUCCGCCUGGGGAGUAUGGUCGCAAGGCUG
rnacentral:rRNA from 1 species